rnacentral:lncRNA from 1 species
UGUGGUAUUAUAAUAUCACCCUGUACAAAAGAUGUUUUAUUGAAAGUAAAUUGUCCGCCCUUGACCAAGGCCGACGCGUGAGGUUGCAAAGUUCAUUCUAAUAUAUAAGUAAACGCCCGAUGAUAUGAUACCAUUAUUAUUAUUGUUAUGAUUAUUGUAAUAGUUAGCAGUAACCACGUUUAAGAUAGGUCGUGAUUAUAAACAAGUUAUUAUGAUUUAGUCAUCGAUAUGGUAAACCAAAAAUAUAUGUAUUUGAAUA